ensembl:lncRNA HNRNPD-DT HNRNPD divergent transcript
GGAGUCCACUCACCCCUCCCCACCACUCCAGUAGCGGCGGGAGCAGCAGCGUUAGGCCGGGGUGUGGCUGCACCUCUGCGAAGGCUGUCGUGCCCCGUGCAGCUGCGGCGUUCGGGUGGGGGAGGGGAGGCUCACACCCUGCGGCGGCUUAAGCCUGGAUUUACGCACUGGAGGAGGGAAUUAGCCCUGAGAUGUCAGCCCUGUGCCCCUGGCGCUGUCCACCCGGACGCCCGCGGAGCGCCAGGCGCCGCAGCGGACCGCGCGCGCACUGAUUGCCGCAGCUACUCUCCCUGCCGUCGCCGCCCGGGACCGGGUGACAUUGAGGUUUUCGUCUAUCGCCGCUGGGCCGAUAGGGCUUCUUUUUAAGAUUUGGCUUUCCAAGUAAGAUUUUUGUUUGCCUGCUUUUCUCCUGGAAUUUUUUUGUUUUUGGUCGAAGAAGCAGCUCCCACUUUGCAGUUGUGUCAGCCAAUCACGACAGCUUCCCAGACUUCCGUGCAAGUGCCUGCUUUGAGGCCAAGGUGGCCAUAAAUGGCAGCUCCUCAGGCUCCUCCACAAUCUCUGGUUUCUUAUGUUUCUCCAUGAGCUCAGCUUUUUCAUCAACUCCAAUGCUUCAAGCCGAAGUCAUUAGUGAAUGUUCUACAAUCCUUCAGCUGCAGCUCCAGACCUUCACUCCUCCAGCUUCUCCUACAUCCAUCUAACCCUCAAUUCCUACAUUAAAUCUCUUUAUUCCAGAAUA